ACGAAACUUAAGUUUACUGGAAAAGUGAAACUGGAAGAGGCUGGUUAGUUUGUUACUGUUAUGCAGAAAAUAUAAUCACGAUUAGAGAUCUACAGACCUGGUUUGUCUUUGCUGAAAGAGAAAUAUUUACUUCACCACGACAUUGAUCUCUCUUCUGCAUUGUGUUUAGAUAUGGAGAUGCCUGAUGUCCGUCCUGACACGGUAUUCUGUCAGUGAAGGAAAAACUAAAGGACAAUGGAUGUAAAGAUGAAGUUCUCCUCUCCAACCUGGAUUUUUCUGAACGAGUCUUCAGACACAGUCUACUUAACAAAGAUGUGACUCUGCUGAUCAAAGGUCAAUGGAAAUGUGUGCGAAUUGGCAAAAAUCAAGACAAAAUCUACACCGUGUCAUCUGAAGAUGGUCAAACACGCAUUGAUUGUGCUGUCACCUGUAGUGGGGAUUAUAUUUCAAGGUGGUAUAUUAAGAAUUUGCAUUUCAGUGUGCAUUCCUGCCAAGAUGAAAGUAAAUCGUGUUUUGAACAAGCACAUGAGGCACUGAAAUCCAAAAUACCUGCAUUAAAAAUCACAUGCAACAGGUUUUCGAUCACCUACAUGGUUAAGCAUUCAUUAGUGGAGCAGUGUAUAUCUAUCAAAACAAAAUGCAAGUUUCAUUUUGAUCAAAUAACCGCUGAGGGUUUGCUAGAAAGGAAAUGCUGGCUGGAAAAAGAGAAACCAAAUUGCAGUAGGCUGAAAAAAUGCCUCGACUUUCUAAUAGAGAAAUAUCUCACCAUGCCUGAAUCUCCGAAGUCGAACUGCAAGUUCAUUUUACAGGGAGAUCAAGAAAUGCUAGAAAUCUCUUCAGCAUGUCCAGAUAAUGAAAUGCAGACAAGAUACAUCUUGAUGAAUGACUUUGCUUUAAAAGUGUCUAUGUUUCCUCCAGCUUGGUAGUAAGCUA